rnacentral:lncRNA from 1 species
AGGCUGCACGUGCUUACGACACUGCCGCCCGUCAGUUUCGUGGCGCCAAGGCUAAAACCAACUUUCCCCUUCCUGACGACUUCAUCGACGUUUCUCCUCACAACACCAACCAAAGUCCUAGUCCUACCAGCACCCUCGACUCCUCUUCCUCCUCCACCCAUGAGAAAACCCCCUCUCCGGAGAUCGCCCGAAGCUACGGCGUUGGAAGAACUUUUCCAUUCAUUCAACCUCAGUUUUUACAUGGGGGCGGCACCGUUCGUCCGCUUUUGUUCACGGACGUUUAUGGUAGAGCAGAAUUCGUAGCUCAUGGUUAUCCU